GACGAACGCUGGCGGCGUGCUUAACACAUGCAAGUCGAACGGAAAGGCCCUGCUUUUGUGGGGUGCUCGAGUGGCGAACGGGUGAGUAACACGUGAGUAACCUGCCCUUGACUUUGGGAUAACUUCAGGAAACUGGGGCUAAUACCGGAUAGGAGCUCCUGCUGCAUGGUGGGGGUUGGAAAGUUUCGGCGGUUGGGGAUGGACUCGCGGCUUAUCAGCUUGUUGGUGGGGUAGUGGCUUACCAAGGCUUUGACGGGUAGCCGGCCUGAGAGGAUGACCGGCCACGUUGGGACUGAGAUACGGCCCAGACUCCUACGGGAGGGAGCAGUGGGGAAUAUUGCACAAUGGGCGGAAGCCUGAUGCAGCAACGCCGCGUGCGGGAUGACGGCCUUCGGGUUGUAAACCGCUUUCGCCUGUGACGAAGCGUGAGUGACGGUAAUGGGUAAAGAAGCACCGGCUAACUACGUG
rnacentral:rRNA from 1 species